AUUCAUACCCCUGGGGUGCAAGAUCUGUGGUUCAACAGGUUCAUGGCUUAAAGAACACAGCCAUCAGGUUUGGGACGGCAUUCUUUGGCACAGCAGAAAUCUUUUGAUUUUCUUUGCAGUGUGACAUCGUUGUUAAGCCUGGAGUCAUUGCUUAUCCGUAUUCUUCAUAUUUUAUUUGGUGUUUUGUAUGAGCAGCUGUACUCACAAUAAGUGGUGAUUGUCAAGUCAGAGAUGAU